rnacentral:rRNA from 1 species
AUGGCGAGCUCGGCGCCUCCCUUCCUCCUCCUCCUCCUCUUCGUCCUCGUCGCCGCCGCCGCGGCCUCGGAGGAGCGCCCGCGCGUCACCCCCACCUUCAUCCACUGCCACCCGGCGCAGGCAACCGCCAACGCCAGCAGCGCCAAGAACGCCAUGGCGUUCCAAGCCAACGUGAUGCCCCUCCUCGCCAAGCUCCCCUCCGCCGCCGCGCCCAUGGGCUUCGCGUCCCUGGGGUCCGCCGGAGUGGUCGGACGCGACCGUGCGUUCGUCCGCGGGCUCUGCUUCGGGCACGCCACGCCGUCCCAGUGCCGCGAGUGCCUGGCCGCCGCGGCCAAGAAGCUCGCCGACGCCUGCGGCGCCCGCGGCCGGCGCGCCGGCGUCUGGACGGACGGUUGUUUCGCGUCUUACGCCGACGCGAACGACUCCUCGCCCUACUCCGAUAGCUUCCGCGCGCGCAUCAUCUCCGGCGCCGCCGCGCUCACCACCAGCACCUCCUACGAGCUGCAGAGCCUCGCCGACCUGGCGUGGCGCACGGGGCCGGUCGUGGCCACCAGCGCCGGGAUGCAGGUGGCCGUGGACUGGAACGCCGCGACGAGCGACUACAGGAAGAACAGCACGGUGCGCGUGCUGACGCAGUGCGCGCGGGACCGCAUGGCGGAGGAGUGCGCGUGGUGCGUCCAGUACUCGGCGCGGGUGGCGGAGACCUGCGCCUGGUCCUGGUGCCCCCGGCACUCGGCGCGGGCGGGGGACACCUGCUGCUGGGGCCUCGACGCGUGGCGCGACGGCGUGGCGGGCGCCGUCGUCGGCUUCGACUGCUACCUGCGCUUCAACGUCGCCGUCGCCACCGCCACUUCCACUGCGCCGGCGCGGGUGCCCCUGCUACAAAGGCUCGGCGAGCAGAGCACGCUGCACGCUCUCGUCUUCAUCUUCUUGGCUAUGGGUUGA